UAAAUAUAUCAUUGUAUAUUGCGAAUGGUUUUAUUUAGAUUAAUAAAUAUAUCAUUUGUUAAAAUUUAAAAAAUGCAAGAUUGUUUGAACUGGAUUGUAGAAGAUGUUUGCGUAUACUUAGAACUUAAAGGACUCCCACAACUUGUACAAAAAAAAUAUUGUACAUAUCUAAUAUUAAAGAAAUGAAAUGACACUGAGAUUUGGUAAUGAUCUUGAUAAAGAACUGCAUCAAAUGAAAAGCUUUAUAUACAAAUUGACGCAAUCGGCUGUAUGCGGAAAGUCGAAAUUUAUAGAAUAUUAAAAGUUGUUUGAUAUUAAGCGUUAUUGCUUCAUUCAUAACUUAAUUAUUGCUUCAAUCUCAACAAAAACAGAUAAUUCUUCGAACGAAUGCGACUAUAGAAAUCUCACGUUUAUUUGUACAUCUAGUUUCAAGCAAAAACAUUUAUAUAUUGGACAUUUGAUUUAACACUAGAAAACACUUGUUUUUUUUAUAAUUGAAGAUCAAGUC